GCCGAAGUGGUGGAACUGGCAGACACGCUAUCUUGAGGGGGUAGUGCCCACCGGGUGUGCGGGUUCGAAUCCCGCCUUCGGCACAA
rnacentral:tRNA from 1 species